rnacentral:rRNA from 1 species
UGCCAGAGCCAUAUCUCCCUGUUUCUCUCACCUGGUUUCCCAUUGAAGCUAAGCAGGGUUGAGCCUGGUACCAGUACCUGGAUGGCAGACCUCCAGGGGAAUACUAAGGAAGCGGUAU